rnacentral:rRNA from 1 species
CCAGCGGAGGGAUCAUUACCGAGUUUACAACUCCCAAACCCAAUGUGAACCAUACCAAACUGUUGCCUCGGCGGGGUCACGCCCCGGGUGCGUCGCAGCCCCGGAACCAGGCGCCCGCCGGAGGGACCAACCAAACUCUUUUCUGUAGUCCCCUCGCGGACGUUAUUUCUUACAGCUCUGAGCAAAAAUUCAAAAUGAAUCAAAACUUUCAACAACGGAUCUCUUGGUUCUGGCAUCGAUGAAGAACGCAGCGAAAUGCGAUAAGUAAUGUGAAUUGCAGAAUUCAGUGAAUCAUCGAAUCUUUGAACGCACAUUGCGCCCGCCAGUAUUCUGGCGGGCAUGCCUGUCCGAGCGUCAUUUCAACCCUCGAACCCCUCCGGGGGGUCGGCGUUGGGGACCUCGGGAGCCCCUAAGACGGGAUCCCGGCCCCGAAAUACAGUGGCGGUCUCGCCGCAGCCUCUCCUGCGCAGUAGUUUGCACAACUCGCACCGGGAGCGCGGCGCGUCCACGUCCGUAAAACACCCAACUUCUGAAAUGUGACCUCGAUCAGUAGCUCCCAAAUU